UACAGGGCUAUCUAGAUGCUCCUUUAUCGCCACCAACAGAUGUUCGUCCUGCUAUGAAACGACAACGAAUUUAUUGUCAACUUCGUAGUGAAGAUUCUAGUAUGUUUGGUGAACGGAAUAACACAAUGGAGGAUGAAAACGAAGAU